UACGAAGGUCCCAAGCGUUAUCCGGAUUUAUUGGGUUUAAAGGGUGCGUAGGCGGGUUAUUAAGUCAGUGGUGAAAGCCUACAGCUUAACUGUAGAACUGCCAUUGAUACUGAUGAUCUUGAGUAUGAUUGAGGUGGGCGGAAUGUGUCAUGUAGCGGUGAAAUGCUUAGAUAUGACACAGAACACCGAUUGCGAAGGCAGCUCACUAA
rnacentral:rRNA from 1 species